GUCUACGGCCAUACCACCCUGAACGCACCCGAUCUCGUCUGAUCUCGGAAGCUAAGCAGGGUCGGGCCUGGUUAGUACUUGGAUGGGAGACCAUCACUGUAUUUUUCUUAUGUAGCCU
rnacentral:rRNA from 1 species